AUCCAGUUGAUGAGUCCAAAAUAGUACGAAACGCACGUCUUAAUGGAU
rnacentral:hammerhead_ribozyme from 1 species